GGGGUACAGAACUAAACAGAGAUAUCUCAAUAGAGGAAUCUGAAAUGGCUGAAAGACACUUAAGAAAUUGCUCAAUAUCCUUAGUCAUCAGGGAAAUGCAAAUCAAAACAACUCUGAGAUACCAUCUUACACCCAUUAGAAUGGCUAAAAUCAAAAACACCAAGGACAAUUUAUGCUGGAGAGGAUGUACAGUAUUUUCAGGUCAUUUCUGAACAGUAAAGAGAAUAGCUAGUGUGAAGGAUGGUCCUCCCAUUUUGUAUGCAUGAUGAUUGUUUUCAGAACUUAAAAGAGACUAAACUAAACAGAAGAUGCAGAAGACAAAAAAUAAAAUAAAAGAGAAAAAGAAGAUUAUGUCAAAGAAUAAAAAAGCAUCAUGCAAAAGCCAGGAACAGUCGGAAAGCCACACACUGAAAUCAAGACUGGGAUCCAAGAGUCCUAAGGUGUUUCUUCUUAUGCAAAAGCACACUGAGAAAAAUAAACAACCAAGUACAGCAAGGCUGAGGAUAACCCAGUAAUAACUGAAGGAUGAAGGACUUAUGAGGAUGUUUCAUCAGAGACAGGCAAACCUUUCUGGCUCCAGGAAUAGGAAGGCUGAGGGACAACACGGAACCUCACCUCACUUCUUCUGGUUAAUACAGUUUUUGCUGACCUUGGCAGUCAAGAAAAUUAAGUAAUCAAAGUGAAGAACAAGGAAACAAUGAACUUUUACAUUUAACUCAAACUUUUGAUUUCUGUUCCAAUUGAGAAACUGAGAAACCAAACACGGCAUUAGGGAUGAUGAGACAUGCAAGGAUGGAGGAGAAUAGUCAGAAUGGGGAGAUUGAUUUGCAGAAAAAUGCUCACACUACAGUGUAAUAAGAACUAUUGGGUGAAAACUUUAUAAAGUGAAUUGCAAAGUGAAGAAAAAAGAAUCCAUCUGAGAAGGGAAAGGAUUCCAUACAAGAUGUCACAUGUAACUGAGUCUCUAAAAUAACUUUUGAUUCACAAAGAAAGGAAGUGGAGGACUUACUGAGCAGAGGGAAGAUCAUGAACAAAGGCACAGAAUCAAGAAAACAUGAUGCUUUUUAUCCAAAGUAUUGAGCUAUUACAUUGUAUGCUGAGCACAGCCUAGGACAUGGCUAUGUAGAAGUGCAUUCUGGGUGAAAAAUGUACACGUGGUCACUUAAACUGGAGCAGUGCAACACAGGAAACCUACAGAGUAGCCCACCUGCUUCACAGGUGUGAUGACCUUAAAGACAUGCUGGCACAUCAACACUUGGACUUUAAAAACAAAAACAAAGACAACAAACCUUGGAGAAGACUUCACUGCUUAGAAAACUGGUUUAAAGAUUCUUCUAAAUAUUAUAAUUCUGCACCAACAAGAUAGCUCAGUGUUGAAGGUGCUUUCCACCAAGGCUGAAUAUAUGAGUUCAAUCCCUGAAAGCUAAAAAAGGGGAAGAUGAACACAAACUCAUAGGAGUAGUCUUCAGAUUGCCACAUGCACAGUUAAAGCAUUGUGCACACACACACACAUAUACACACACGUGUGUAUAUGCCCACUCACAAUUAAUAAAUCAAAAUAAAAACAUGAUACUACCUAAUGACAUUUACUGAUUUUAGAAUGUUAGAUAUCACUGUAAGACUUUAAGUAUUACAAAAUCCCCAAAAUAGGACACAAAUUAUCAUGUGAUUCUGUCUUACAGACAAGCAGCUUCAUGUUUUUCACAAAGGUAUCCUGGUGCCACAAAAUAACUUCUAACUCAGGUUUGGUGAUUUUUACCUAUAUUUUGUCUCUGUGCAUGAAAUGAGAUACACAUACUUUCUUUUUCACUUUUAUGAAAAUGACACAAUUUUAAAUUUUAUCUAGAGAUUUGAAAAAUAUUUUAAUCGGAAAAACUGAUUUUCUUGAUUUUCUGAUGAAGCAUAAAAAGACCUUGAAGCAACUUUUGCUCUUAUCCCACAGACGUCAAACUAAUCUUUUUCUAGGUCUUUGUUAUGGACCUCUGAGAUAUUUUUCAUUGUCAAUUAUCCAAGAAGAUAACCCUGUUCUCCAAUAUUUACAUAAUUUGUGUUUCAUGUCUUGUUGCUUUUGGAGUUGGAGGAGGUAUUUGUCCUUAUUAAUUUACAGAAGCCUUUCCUGUAGUGUGGAAUAUCUAUAACAUGUGUCAGGUAUUUGCUAUGGAUUGGGUUAGUAAGAAAAGAAGUUUAGUCCUGUUUUCCUAGUAAUAAAGA
ensembl:lncRNA